UGGUGGAGUGGUGAGUCAGUUGGAUUCUGCUGGCCAGGCUGCGAGGAGGAAGGGACAGGAAGCAGUGGGUUAGAAAUGCAGAAAGAAGAAGGAGAGAAAAAGCCAGAGCUGUGUGGGGUUGUUUGUAGAACUGCAACAUAGUAAAGAGUGGGCAGUACCAUGAGUGAAGUCAGGAACUUUCACCAGCAAGGCACAGCUGUUUAAGUGGAAGCAAGACCCUACUUUUCCCAAGGAACAGCGGGCACUCCUCCAUCCCACUUGUCAACGUAUAUUUUCUGACACCAGAGAUCUGAGGCUUAGGAAUAUACUUUGGUAAUAAUAAAACACUGUAACAGAACUAGAGAGUAAGCACCAUUUUCAGUCUAACACCACUUAACACCACCACUAACACUGCCUUUCUCUGACAUCAUCUUUGCCAAUGUAACAAAUGACUUGGCAAAAUAAGGGAAUUCCAUGACCCUGCACUUUAUUAUUAUAUAUCAAACAGAUAUAAAAAGUUCAUGGUGACUUAGUUUGCUGUGGUUUAUUUCUAAGUAGGUACGGUUAGGUUUUUUUGGUUUUGUGUGGGUGGUUUUUUUUGUUGUUGUUGUGUGUGUUUGUUUGUUUGUUUGUUUGUUUUUUUAACUGUGUAGCUGAACUUGAGAAACAACAGAUUGUUCCUGGCUGCCAUGAAUGCCCACAGGAAUGAAGAAGGCAAAAAGGUAUCCAUUGCCACCUGUGUGUGUGACACCACUUCAGGCUGUUCUUUGUUCUUGUUUCCCUUUGAUGUUAUGGUUGGUUUGAUAUAUAGGGAAGAGCUGACUGUAAUACCAGGCCGUGAUGGUAUAAGCUCACCAUCUAAAAGAACUGAGAACUCCUGUGGAAAUCAGGAAGGCUCAGAGUGUUUUUCCACAGGCAAAUACCAUUUCAUACCCCUAUCCAGUGUAGGCCAAUGCCACAAUCUGCCUUUCUAGUUUUAAAUCUGAAGAACUAAUUUCCUGUCCCUCCUGAGAUUGAUGCCUUGCUUAUGUGAGUGCUCUGCACUGCUGGACUCAGAUUUAGGCUCUGUGGGUGAUCUUAUGCCACCACAGGCCAUUGUACAUUCUGUAAAACACGAUGAAAUUGAUAAAAGGGAGAAAGGGCAUCUAGGUGAAUUGCCAGAAGCAGCCCUCAGGUUUCUUGAAUCUCCUGAUAAUAAGACAGGAGAAAGAAUAUACUUUCAUCCAUCAAUGUUAGUAUAUCAUAAUGUUCCUAUGCCUGAAACUCCUAAGGUUCCAUAUUUUCAAUAUUAGUACCUUUUGUCUCAAGCUAGCUCCUAAUUAUGUGAGUAUUGUGGGUAUUCUAUUAAAUAAGAAACAUCAUUCUUGCGAAAAUCCACCAUUACGUUCCUCCUUACCUCACUGUUUUAACACGAAUGGUUUUCAUGAAGCAUUAGAUACUCUUCAGUAGGUGAACAUCUAUAUGCUCUUAGGUAAACUUGAAAAGUUGUAUAAAUGUUUAGUCCAGCUGUGUUCCUAAAUAGAUUUUUCAAGGCAAGAAAAGUAGAUAUAAUCAUAUCCUAGACAGAAUUCACAAUGAAGAAAAGUUUGUUUCAAGCUCAGCUCUUUAAUUAAAUUGUCCAAACAAACUGCAGCUCAAAACCCAGACAUUACAGCUACAGCAAGGAGAAAGUGCUCUGUUGCCUAGAGAUUAUUUCAAGUGUUGAUUCCUCAGGAGGAUUGCUCUGUGAUACAUUUAAUAUACUGUCAAAUAUAAAAUUUGGUUAAAAUUUUGCUUAUCUCAUUGAAAGAUUAUUCAUCUGUUUUCCCUUUGCUCAAAAGUAAUACUUUACUGGGAUGAUUUUGAUUCCAUUUUUGCAUGUUGUUAUGUAGGUGGGAAAUACUUGCUCAGGUAAGCAAUGCUUUUUGAUUUAAAUGGAAAUAGCUUGCUUGGGUAAAUGACUGCAUGGUUGGACCAAUUGUUUCUCCAUUUCCUCAGUCUUUUAUUCUGUCUGCAAAUAGUCAAACAUGCAUCUGUUCACUCUCAGAUGAUUACAGAAAGAAAAAAAGUUUCAUUUUUCAAACUUGCGGACACAGAUUUUAUCUGAUAGGCCAUUCUCUGGUUCAGUGGGAUUUUCAAAUCUAUGAAAAUUCAGUAUCAAGUGCUGAGGGUUGAAGUCUUUAAUGAAAGGAGGAAAAAAAACUUGUAACUCUCUAAUAGCGGCUUAAUCAAUGUGGGAAGGACUUUCUUUUACUUAAUCUGUGCACAUUGAAUUUAAAAUAUUUUCAGUUUUCCCUUCUGUCCUCUUAGUCUUUCUGCAUUGUCUUAGGUGAUCAGGCCUUGCUAGAGCUAUAUAAGUAGUGAUGACAGCAGAAAAUUCUUCAAAGAUAACCAUUAAGCCCUCUAGAGUAUGUUGUGAGCAGCGGUAAGGUGGCCUGGUUAGAUAGGUAAAAUUAUUGAGGGAAAGAUCUCCUGAAAAAUAGUGCCAGAGAGAGGUCUCACAGUUUGGAAGCUGGAGCCUGGAAGUAGCUCUGUGAAUCAGAAGCUUCCUUGGAAAGUAUGUCUGGAAACUGUGGGAAUCUAGAUGCCAGAGGCACCCUGAGACACCACCAAGAGGUGCAUAAACAAGGAACAGCUACAAAACUUCUCAUCUGAGAGAGUGUUUCAUAGUCUGGAAAAAUCCAAUUGCUCUGAAAUAAUGGAGAACAUAAUCAUCUGUUGGCUCUUAGAGGUGAAAAAGCGAAAUUAGCAGUAUCUAUUGACUGCUCAAAGUGGUUGCUUUUUAAAGUAUAUAAAAGAAAGUACAGUGAAUUUAUUAAUAGCAUUAUGUGGCUUAAACUUAUAAAGGACAUUUCUAGAUACAAUUUUGUAGCACUGAGAAUGAAAACUAGUGGUGAAACAUUUAAACAGCUCUACUUUUCAGAACUUGUGUUCCAAAGUUCUUGGGAGAUUACAUUUUCUUUUCCAUUACACUUGAACUCUGUCCAUUUCACCAUAGUAUUUUCACAUCUAAUAAUUUCUUCAAACUAUGAGAGGAAACCAUCAGUAUUUGUAAACCUACAUUUGUGACUAUUUUCCCUUCUCUUUAUUUGAUUUAUUCUAAUCUCCAUUUUUAGGUAAAGAAAAAAAUGAGAUUGCCUGUAAGUCUCCAUCAAUAUCCAUGUUAAUAUUAAUACUUAUUUUUCAGUCUAGAACUGGAAAACUCACUGUGACUGCAACCUGUUUACUGUACUUAAUUUUUAUUUGCUUCACUUUCUGCUUUUUUCAGUUUUUUUUCUGGCUUCUGUGGACACAUCUUCAGCUACAACCCUCCUGUAAUCAUUUUCAAAUUUUUAUUUUAGGCAGAUAACUGGGGAACCACAAGUAAUGUCAGCUAUGACUCUGAUUUGCUGAGGAGAGGGUAUUUUGCUAGAAACUUACAAACAAUGUUUGCCGAUACAAAUGAAAAUCAGAACAAAGAUGCCUCUUUCCACUUACGUAAUGCGGUAAGGGAAAACCUCUUACAAAGCAGGUUUCCUGGAAAAGUAAUGCAAAAUUUCUGCACUGUCAAACAAAUUUCCAGUUUCUAGUCCUCAAUUCUCUUUUGUGUCCUAGAAGAUAUUCUUUUUGUAAGAGCCUUUUGUGAGAGAAAAAAAAAAAUACUAGCAAUUAAGCCAGGAAAGCUCUCAAGAUGUAUGUUUUUAGAACAUGGCUCCUUUAAAAAAUGUUCCUGCUGGGUUGAAAAGAGUUCAUAUUCUAAUAUCUCUUAUCCUGCUGUUGUUUAGUGUGUUGAGAGUGUUAUUAUGCUUCCACAUAUUCUUUAUCCCUGUAUCUUUGACUUGGCUUUACAACACUGAAAUGGAAAGCAUUUACAAAUGUGAUCUCAUGUUCCUGAAAAGUCUGAAGAGAUGAUGUGAUCCUAUCACUAUGGGCUUGUCUAUCAAAUAAGGAUAAUGACUAUGCAAAAACCCUGCAUUUUCCAGUGACAAUAUUUUUUUUUUUUUUAAUACUUUAAACCUACUAACACUAGUGAGCUAGGUGAAAGGAAAAAAAUUAAAUGCCACCUCCUUAUAGCUAAGAAAUCAGAGGUCAAAUUAAAGGAUGGAAAAAUUGGAAGUUUUAUCUGAUUACUAUUAAAAAAAAAUUCAAAGCUAGAGUCAAGCUGCUGCUGGUAAUCUUGGUUUAUUGUCAUUUAAGUUCUAUGGUAAUAAUCAUACAAAUGGACAGGGUUUUUUUUUUCUACAUAUUUGAAUCUUUUUUUUUUCUGAAAUUAAGUACCAUAUUUUGUGAAAGUAGUGAUUUCUCUCUACAAAAUCUGAGCAGAAUGUUCUAUUGAAAGGCACUGGACUAACAUAUGUGGAAAGCAUAAUUCUCUAUUUAAUUAGUACACUGAACUGAAGUAAUGACAUUUUGUGGCUUUUGUACACUGUUCUACUUGUGAGUCUUAGGUCUGCUCUGGUGUAAUUGCCUGUAUCUCAAGAAUUAAGGGGAGUUUUGUGUAAGUUUUAAUCAACCUGUACUUGGCUUUUGAAGGCAAAGUACUGUGUGGUUAAAGAUGAACUGCCCGACAAUCUUUGGCUUCAUCAAUGGGAAUGCAAGUUGGUCACAGCUUUUGCCUUUUGUAUUUGUUUUUAGUUCAACAAAGAUUUAACGUGGACCACAAAAGAGGCAUUACAAGACUUUCCUGGCUGAUGUCGUUGUGGUUUAACUUUACCUGAAAUGCCAUUUUAGUAAGAAUCAGCAGAAUCUGAUACUAAAAAAAUCUUCCCACAAAGAAGGAUGGGUUGACCAGCAAAGACUGUUCUGUAUGGUUCAGAUGUAUUGGGUGCAUGUGAUAUAUUGAGUAGUUAUCAAUGUGCAUCUAUGUCUUACA